rnacentral:rRNA from 1 species
UGGAACUUGUUCUGGUGGAUUAGUGGCGAACGGGUGAGUAACACGUGAGCAACCUGCCCAAGACUUUCGGGAUAAGCCUGGGAAACUGGGUCUAAUACUGGAUAUGACCUUUCAUCGCAUGGUGUUUGGUGGAAAGAUUUUUUGGUUUUGGAUGGGCUCGCGGCCUAUCAGCUUGUUGGUGAGGUAAUGGCUUACCAAGGCUUCGACGGGUAACCGGCCUGAGAGGGUGACCGGUCACACUGGGACUGAGACACGGCCCAGACUCCUACGGGAGGCAGCAGUGGGGAAUAUUGCACAAUGGGCGAAAGCCUGAUGCAGCGACGCCGCGUGAGGGAUGACGGCCUUCGGGUUGUAAACCUCUUUCAGUCAGGAACAAGCCACUUGUGGUGAGGGUACUGGCAGAAGAAGCACCGGCUAACUACGUGCCAGCAGCCGCGGUAAUACGUAGGGUGCGAGCGUUAUCCGGAAUUAUUGGGCGUAAAGAGCUUGUAGGCGGUUUGUCGCGUCUGCUGUGAAAGCCCGGGGCUUAACUCCGGGUCUGCAGUGGGUACGGGCAGGCUAGAGUGAUGUAGGGGUAACUGGAAUUCCUGGUGUAGCGGUGGAAUGCGCAGAUAUCACGAAGAACACCGAUGGC